rnacentral:tRNA from 1 species
GCCUCUGUAGCUCAGCGGUAGAGCAUUUGCUUCGUAAGCAAAGGGUCGGGGGUUCAAAUCCCUCCAGAGGCU